rnacentral:rRNA from 1 species
GACGAACGCUGGCGGCGUGCUUAACACAUGCAAGUCGAGCGGUAAGGCCCUUUCGGGGGUACGACGAGCGGCGAACGGGUGAGUAACACGUGGGUAACCUGCCCUCCAGCUCUGGGAUAAGCCUGGGAAACUGGGUCUAAUACUGGAUAUGACUCCACGGUGCAUGUCGUGGGGUGGAAAGCCUUGUGCGGCUGAGGAUGGGCCCGCGGCCUAUCAGCUUGUUGGUGGGGU